CCUAUCACGCUCGCGUGUUUUUUCUUUGACGCACGCAUGCAAUCCAAACUUCGACGCAGCGAACGCGUUUAGAUGGACAAAGCUGAGAGUCGCUACGGCUUUCGAGGUCACGGCUGCCGGCGAAGUAGCGAAGCACUUCUCGAACGACGGCCGGCGUGGCUCACGCGGCGAGAGAAGCGUGAUCAACCGGCCGUGUCCUCCUGGUCGUCGUCGUCGUCGUCGUCGAGUGCCAUUGUCGUUCCGGUCGAGUAAAAUUGCUUAUCUGACGCCCGGCGAAGGCCGCAAAUGAGGAAAGCCGGACGCCGUGGCUGACGGCGGAGACUGCACGGACGAAAAUCCUGACCGACUGUCUCGGCCAGAAGCCAGCGAGCCGUCAUCGUUGUUUACCUCGUGCUGAGAGAACACAAAGUCUUAACGACGGAGCGGUGCAUGAAACUCGCACUACGCUACGUUUUCCCCGGCUUUAUUUCUUGGCUUUCAAAGACACUGACUAAAAGAACCAGAUCCAGUCUGUUCGCCGCGCAGUGCCAGAAGACCGUAGGCCACAGGACACUGCCGUCCGAAGUCCGGCCACCCACCCCGCAAGGCUGACCACGAAGGGAAUAUGGCACUGCGAGCAAGGACGACAAGGGGCUCGGCACGGAUAGACGCACCGGGCAGCAGCGGCAACCACGUGAGCGCGCUGACCGAAGAGCGGCCGCGCAGGACCCUCUCCCUGGCCAUCAAGGUGGCUAUCGUUAUUGCCGUGAUCGGCAUCAACCUGCUCAUCUAUGCCAACCUGGAGUAUUUCAAGUCGGACCCACCUCUCAACGACGACCAGUGAACUCUUCCUCCUCGUCACCCCUCUUCGAUCAGUGCUGUUGAGGACUCCAUCCCAAAUCGUUUGAGAGCGAAUCAAGCAGAGAUCUGGAGCACGUUCACACAAGCGUAGCCACAGCAUAAAAUGAAAUACCUAUACAAAUGAAGCUGGGGCGCACUUUGUUGUCUUUGACGCGAUGUAUAUGUGAAGCGGGCGUUCAUUCAAACUCGGACGUUCCGGAGAUGGAACACGCUUAGCGACUGGCAUUACGCAGCUAUAGGUUACGCGCAUGAAGAUAAAUAAUGAUUUUCCGUUCACGUUCCCAAUGGUGGUUAUAUUAUCUAUUCGUAAAGGAGAGACGGCUGACAUGAAGGUCAACGUACACUUUGUUUGUGCAGCUUUGUCAUUAAAACAGAAAGUGAGUUGCCAAGGCGCUACCAGUAUGCUGCGAAAAAAAAAAAAAACGUUAAGAAAGGCAUUGUCGCGUGCACGUGCUUCUAGCUUUCGGGGACGACGUCUUUUAAAUCGCCGCCGGCGUCGAGUUCUCUUUCCCGUAAAAUUUAAACGGGGGAAAAGCUAGGUCUCAUUUCCUGUCACGUGACCUUGUUUCUGCACAAGGCAAAAGGAUAUUUAAUGCUUACGUGCAUACCACAUUCAUUAACAGCAUGGCGAAAUUGUGAAAAGUAGAGUGACAGUUCUUGUCAUUAUUCUGCCAUUGGCGCAUCUCAAAAUGCUCGUACCCUGAUUUGAAAUAAAAAGAGGCCAUUUUUAUUCAGCUAGCUUUUGGAAAAAUUUGUAUUAUUGGAAAAAUUCAAGAAACGCCCCCGCUUAAGCUGUCGCGCAAUAAAGAUUUUUGUUGUUCUGCUUCGUUUGCUGAGCUCACGGUAGUUUUCUGCAACUGAAUUUCAAUGGUGCUAGAAUACAAGUAAUAGUGCUCAUUGUCGGUGCAUUCGGGUAACGUUCAUGAACCUUCAACUGGUGCAAAAGGACAAUAUUUAGUCUGUUGUACCAUAAAAAUGACUUAUAAAGUUAAUACGCCACGUAAGUCCUGGAACCUCCUCGGCAUGCAUGACAAAUAUGACCUCAGACAGCGGAGCUGUUGUGCAAAUUGUCGCAUAACAACGACAUACGCACUUAGGUAUUAAAAAGCAUCUAUAUGUUUUCGCAACCACGAAAUUUGAAACCUGUUUUUCUAUUGAAUAGAGAGAUAGCUUCAUUAACGUGCACCAGAGGGGAUUGUUUUGGCAACAUGUCAUUUGCUGUGAAAUCGUGUGUCCGAUGUGUGCUCGCCAGAUUGCAAUUGCUAGCAUUGAAUAUAAAAAUAAAAAACAGCAUUCCAUCUCCUCACAAUUUAUUGCUCAGUUUAUUUCAAGGUCGCAUCAGAGCACACACCUCGUGGGCAACAGAGCACAAAAACUAAGCAAGUAAGCAAGCUUUACACGUUCGUAAAAUGUGAAGGCGAAAGCCUACCAGCUGUGGAAGAAGACGACGACGAAUGCGCGAGCCGUGGCACGAGCGCCUUUCUGUGACCACGUGACGUGUGCAAUCACGCACGCACUGGGCACA